rnacentral:rRNA from 1 species
GACGAUCAGUAGCCGACCUGAGAGGGUGAUCGGCCACAUUGGAACUGAGACACGGUCCAAACUCCUACGGGAGGCAGCAGUGGGGAAUAUUGCACAAUGGGCGAAAGCCUGAUGCAGCAACGCCGCGGGAGUGAUGAAGGCUUUCGGGUCGUAAAACUCUGUCCUCAAGGAAGAUAAUGACGGUACUUGAGGAGGAAGCCCCGGCUAA